rnacentral:rRNA from 1 species
UACGUAGGGUGCAAGCGUUGUCCGGAAUUAUUGGGCGUAAAGAGCUCGUAGGCGGUCUGUCGCGUCGGAUGUGAAAACCCAGGGCUCAACCCCGAGCCUGCAGUCGAUACGGGCAAACUAGAGUGUGGUAGGGGAGACUGGAAUUCCUGGUGUAGCGGUGAAAUGCGCAGAUAUCAGGAGGAACACCGGUGGCGAAGGCGGCCUGCUGGGCAGUAGCUGACGCUGAUGCGCGACAGCGUGGGGAGCAAACAGG